AUUGAACGCUGGCGGCAGGCCUAACACAUGCAAGUCGAGCGGAUGAAGAGAGCUUGCUCUCUGAUUCAGCGGCGGACGGGUGAGUAAUGCCUAGGAAUCUGCCCUGGUAGUGGGGGACAACGUUUCGAAAGGAACGCUAAUACCGCAUACGUCCUACGGGAGAAAGCAGGGGACCUUCGGGCCUUGCGCUAUCAGAUGAGCCUAGGUCGGAUUAGCUAGUUGGUGAGGUAAUGGCUCACCAAGGCGACGAUCCGUAACUGGUCUGAGAGGAUGAUCAGUCACACUGGAACUGAGACACGGUCCAGACUCCUACGGGAGGCAGCAGUGGGGAAUAUUGGACAAUGGGCGAAAGACCUGAUCCAGCCAUGCCGCGUGUGUGAAG
rnacentral:rRNA from 1 species